rnacentral:rRNA from 1 species
GAUAAACGCUGGCGGCGUGCUUAACACAUGCAAGUCGAACGGAGUGGUUCUCCCGAAGACCUGAAGAGCUUGCUCAGAUGGAAUUCAUUUGAAUCACUUAGUGGCGGACGGGUGAGUAACGCGUGGGUAACCUGCCUCAUACUGGGGGAUAGCAGUUGGAAACGACUGAUAAUACCGCAUAAGCGCACAGCACCGCAUGGUGCAGUGUGAAAAACUCCGGUGGUAUGAGAUGGACCCGCGUCUGAUUAGCCAGUUGGCAGGGUAACGGCCUACCAAAGCAACGAUCAGUAGCCGACUUGAGAGAGUGAUCGGCCACAUUGGGACUGAGACACGGCCCAGACUCC